rfam:Myotis lucifugus cont2.1330, whole genome shotgun sequence.
GGUGGUUCUCAGGUGACACACUCUGGAAUCAGGCUCCCUCCUCUCUGGUUCCGGGUGCGUCACCUGAGAACCGCA